UCCCCUGAUUUAGACGGACGCGUACGGGCUGAAGCUAAUGCCCUAUCGUAAUCAUGCGCCUGAGUAGCUGGAGGGAUAACGUUCCGGUAAACGCGGUCGCUCAUACCGCAUACGUCCUACGCGGAGAAAGCAGGUGACCUUCGGGCCUUGCGCUAUCAGAUGAGCCUAGGUCGGAUUAGCUAGUUGGUGAGGUAAUGGCUCACCAAGGCGACGAUCCGUAACUGGUCUGAGAGGAUGAUCAGUCACACUGGAACUGAGACACGGUCCAVACUAAUACGGGAGGCAGCAGUGGGGAAUAUUGGACAAUGGGCGAAAGCCUGAUCCAGCCAUGCCGCGUGUGUGAAGAAGGUCUUCGGAUUGUAAAGCA
rnacentral:rRNA from 1 species